AUGUUGAAGUUAAAGACAAAUGAGAAAGUGGGAGACGAGGCUUUUCUGCCUGGGACACACGAAAGACCCGGGGCUAACUUCCCUAAUAAACGAAGAAUUCUUGGAAACCGAUACCGUACAGACCAAAUCGCGCCUGAAAAAUGGGCAAAAAGGGAGGACACUGGCAAUUCACAGAAAAGCACAAAUGGCCGACAGACCUGCGGGACAGAACUCAUGACCCGACUUCCAAAGACCGAAAAACCGAGAGCGCGACUCGCGCGCUUCAGCGGCCGCUCUCCUCACGCGGCCGCGCGUGCCGCCGCCGGGCCGGUCCACCGCCGUCCAGCCGGACGGUUGAUGUGCGGGGCGCAUCGCCGCCUGAGGACCUGUGCGGCGGGAAACGCGGUGGCACCGCGCGGGACAGACGACCAUCGAGGACUCGGUUGUCAGUCACACCGUCGGUCAGGCCGAAGCGUGCAGCCACGACCCGCUCCACAUGCAAGGACCUGCCUUGGUUUCGUCCUUAGAAACGUCGCCAGCAUCCGGUGCAGAGUGUCACAGAGCCUUGGUUUGCAUCUGAUAUGGGUGAGUACAUGAAUGGAUGAUUUUUUUUUUUCCUGAAAAUUGGCGUUGAGGCGUCUACUCGUACAUUUAUCCUGCCUUUUCACUGAACGUAUUAUGACAUCUGAUGUUCCUCAAGAGACAAGAGCUUUUAGGCGGAAAGAGUUCAUUUCAUGCAGUGAUCACGUGCAUGCGUCGUAUACACUUGUCGCCAAGUUCUUGCCGUCCCAAAGAGCUGAUAACUGCUCUGUAGAUUUCUGAAUAUUGUGAAUGUUCAUAGACUUUAGAUUCCCAGAAAUGGACUUGCUAGAUCAAAGCACACACACACUUAUGUAUUUAUAAAUGCAUUUUUACUUGAAGGAUAAUUGCUUUGCACUAUUGUGUUGGUCUCUGCCAUACAUCAACAUGAAUCAGCCAUAGGUUUACUUAUGUCCUCUCCCUCUGAACCUCCCUGGUGCCUCCCACCCCAUCCCGCCCCUCUGGGUCGUCCCAGAGCACAGGGUUUGAGCUCCCUGUGUCACACAGCAGGUUUCCACUGGCCGUCUAACUUUACACAUGGUAGUGUCGAUGUUUUGGUACUACUCUCAAUGCAUCCCACCAGCUCCUUCCCCGGCUGCUGUGUCCACAGUCUGCUCUCUACGUCUGUAUCUCCACCGCCGCCCUGCAGAUAGGUUCAUCGGUCCCAUCUUUCUGGACUCCAUAUAUAGCGCUAAUAUGUGUUAUUUGUCUUUCAACCUCUUUCUGACUUACUUCACUCUGUAUAACAGGCUCUAGGCUCACCCAUCUCGUCAGAACUGAGUCAGAAGCAUUCCUUUUUAUGGCCGAGUGAUAUUCCAUUGUGUGUAUGAACCGCAGCUUCUUUACCCACUCAUCUGUCACUGGACGUCUGGGUUGCUUCCAUGUCCUAGAUGCUGUAGAUGCAAGGCACACACACGUUUUAGGCUGUGGUCCCUAUGACCACAAUCGUGCUCGACCACCAGCAUUUGAGAAUGUCCGUUUCCUUGGAACCUUCCUGACUUCCCUCCACGUUGGCACUUGGACACGUCGCCUUCCCCGAGCCCUGCUGCGCCGGGCGUCUGUUUUGAUAUCAGAACUGUGAUGCGGGGUCUGUGUUGUGUUUAUCGCACAUGUGAACAUCCUCCUGUAAACAGUCGAUUCACAUCCUUUGCCCACUUUUCUACUUUGAGUGUUCAGCUUUCUCUCUGACGUGGCUCUUCACGUACUGGUGAAAUAAAGCCCUCUACUGUCGCCUCUGUUUCUACA
ensembl:lncRNA